UCUCUGUGUCUGCAUUCAUAGAUCAUGGAUAGGACACACCAGACAGGACUCACCAGACCUAGAGCCAUCUUGGGUGGUGCUCACCCCAGGCUGGCAAACCUGGAUAAGGUGUUCUUUGUCCUUGAUGUGAUGUUCCCCCAAGAUGACAUUCUGGUGAAAUCCACCCUACUGGACCAACUAGCCUCCUGGCUCAGAACCACUCCUGCCUGACCCAGUCCACUCCUGCUUCUUGCCCCUCACUGUGCUGGGUAACACAGGGUCACAAACCAUAACAGGCUGGUAAAAUAUUCCAUACCAUUGAUGCUGUCUAGAAUUGGCAAGGAUGUAAGG